GGUUCCUUUCCCUCUAAUAUACAUUGCAGUGUUUUUUUGGAAGCAAAUCAAAGGAUAUGUGGUGGAAAGCUUACCGAACGAAGUAUCUCCGGCGGCUCUUCAAAAUUGGCGUUGGUGGAUAAAGUUCAGAACCCUUUUCCUUCUUGUUCAGGAUGGUGGUUACCAAGACGUGGCUAGUUGGGUUUGAAGUGAAAGAAACACGCUUGGUGGAAAGAUUAGAGUGCUAUACUUGUGAAUUAAAUGUUAGUUACAUGAUUGUGGACAUGGAUGUGAGCUUGUGACAUUUAGCAUUUACAUAACAAGGUUUUCGCAAUUGUGGAUGUGUAUGAACUAUUUUGCGGGACUUGUGGGAUUAAGGACCAAAGUUGGCAUGGGUUGCCCAUGAAGAAAGUUGGUGCAUCAUGAUAGAGUUUUGGAGUGGAAAUGAAGAAAGAUGGGAUAUCAAGGUGGGCAUCAUGAAG